GGGACUACUCGGGUUUCUAAUCCCGUUUGCUCCCCUAGCUUUCGUGCAUCAGCGUCAGUAAAGACCCAGUAAGCCGCUUUCGCCACCGGUGUUCCUGAUGAUAUCAACGCAUUUCACCGCUCCACCAUCAGUUCCGCUUACCUCUGUCUCACUCCAGCCAUGUGGUUUCCAACGCAGUUCCACGGUUGAGCCGUGGCAUUUCACAUCAGACCUUCAUAGCCGCCUACGCACCCUUUAAGCCCAGUAAUUCCGAACAACGUUUGCACCACUCGUAUUACCGCGGCGGCUGGCACU
rnacentral:misc_RNA from 1 species